GCUGGGUGUGGUGGUGCAUGCCUGUAAUCCCAGCUACUUGGGAGGCUGAGGCAGGAGAAUCACUUGAACCCAGGAGAUGAAGGUUGUAGUGAGCCGAGGUUGCGCCACUGCACUCUAGCCUGGGUGACAGAGCGAGAUUCUGUCUCAA
rnacentral:SRP_RNA from 1 species